UUAUUAUUUACAUUAAUAAUUUAUUUGUGCAAUUCAUAUAAGUUUGAUUAAUUAUUAUAUUAUUAAUUUAUUUAUUAUAUUUGUUUUUAUAAAAAUAAUUUGUUUUUUAGUAUAUUUUAUUGAAAUAUUUUUUUUAAUUAUAGUUUAUUAGUAUUGUAAGAGAAUUAUUUUAUUUUUAUUAAAGAAUUUGUUUAUUUAGUACCUUUUGCAUCAGGGUUUAUUAAUUAUUAUUUAAUUAUUUUUAUUUUUCCCGAAAUUAUAAGAUUUAUAUUUAUAUGAUUGUUGAUGUUUUAAAUUUAUAUUUAAUUUAGAUAUAGUGGUGAUAUGCUAUUCAUUUAUUAAUAUAUCUGGUUUUUUAAUAAUUUUAUUUAAUAAAGAAUUAUAGGUUUAAUAUUAAUAUUUUAUUUUUAUUAUUUUAUAAUUUUAAUCAUUAAAGGAUAAGCUUUUUUGAUUUUAUAUAAUUUUAAUUUAUUUUAAGUUUUGUAGGAUUAGUAACUUUCAUCAUUAAUUUCGUUAUAGUUUUUCUUAAAUUUUUCUUUAUUUUGUUUUAGUUUAUUUUUUUAUUAAAAUUAAUUAAUUAAUUAUACUUUAUUUUAAAUAAUGAUAAAAUUAGUAUAUUUUAAAAUAAAAUAUAGUAACUCGGCAAUUUUAAUUUUCACCUGUUUAUCAAAAACAUGUCUUUUUGUUUAUUAUAUAAAGUCUAGUCUGCUCUAUGAUUUAAAUUAAAUGGCCGCAGUAUUUUAACUGUGCAAAGGUAGCAUAAUCAUUUGUCUCUUAAUUAGAGGCUUGUAUGAAUGGCUGGAUGAGGAAUUAACUUUCUUUAUUUUAUUUUAUUAGAAUUUAAUUUUUAAGUUAAAAAGCUUAAAUUUACUUAUUAGACGAUAAGACC
rnacentral:rRNA from 1 species